CUGGGCGAAACACUCGACUUCUGCCGCUGUCUGAAGUUCGUAAUAGGUAAAAAUCGAGUCGCAUAAUGUUUCCAGCUACAUUGUUCGUGCUGUCGCUUGUUUAAGAUAGGAAGUGUUGUGUAUGUUCGCAAAUUUCGAGGUGGAUAAUGCCCAGUGUUGUGGUUUCGUCAGUACUUUUCCAGGCCAGAAGCCGUAGCCGUCAAUCCACAGCAAUGGGCAGUUGAAAAGAUUCUGCGCUUCUCAUGACAACAAUCAUAAUGAGAUUCACUGCUUGUAAUUUGACUGAUAUCCAGAAUUAUUUGACUCCAGACCAAGAUGAUACCGACAGAAGAGUGUUGCACAGUUAUAGCUCCAGAAAACUGCCACCAGCAGCAGAUGUCACACAGUUAAAAAAUGGGAAACUUGAAGAAUAAGCUACUAGUGGUUUGGAUACACAUUUGGCAAAUUUCACCUUUCACUUAAAAUGUAGGUACAGUUAUAGUCCUUAAGAGUAUACUGGCAAAUGGUAACUCAAAGCUCUUUGUUCCUGUUACAGCUCGAAGUCAGUCGGCAAGUCGGCAGCAGCAGCAUCAGCAGCAGCAGACGUCACACAGCCAUAAUGUGAGAAGCUUGAAGAAUAAUGUGGUAGUGGUUUGGAUACAUAUGACAUAUUUCACCUUCAGUUUAAAAUUGAAGUUUGUUUAUAUUGGUAGGUGGUAACUCUGAGCUCUUUGUUCCAGUUAUGGCUCGGAUAGUCUUCCAGCAGCAGCAAAUGUUACACAGUCCUAUAGAGGCAAACUUGAAGUAUAAAGUAACAGUGUUUUGCAUACAAUGGCAAACUUGACCUUUCACUUAAAAUGGAGGUACAUUUGCAGUGAGUUUAAUGUUAUGACACGUGAAUGGAUUACCAGUGAUGUAUAUGUAAAUACUGGAAUUUGUAACUUAGAACUUAAUUUCAGUAUCGGCUUUGAAAUUUGGUCACUGGAUACAACUAUAUUAUCUUUCAUGUUGAUAGCAGCAAUCAUCAGAUUGCAAUCCAGUUAAGUACCUGUGAGGCAUGAGAUGUCAAAAAUACUUUUGGGUUAUUGGUAGCCUGUGUCAAGGCAUGUGGCACCUCAAAGUUUAUAACUACUCAUAUAUGCAGCAACUGCUGAAGCAGCCUCUGGCAGUUUAUUGAAGUUCCGUGAACAAAGUGUUGUGUGGUCUGUUUGUGUAAAGUGAUAAAGAAAAAUGUUAAAGUGUAAUUGCAUAUGUAAUUGUGCAUAUAUUUAAUCAUUAUUUUUGCUAGUUGUAAAACCUAUUUUCAUGUAAAUCAGAGAACAUUGUAUAAUAGGUAACAACCGAAUGAGGCAGUGUAGCUAUUAACAGCACUGACCUCAUAUUCGGGAGGAUGGGGUUCGCUGUGUCUGGCCGUCCUGAUUCGGGUUUUCCGUGGUUUUCCUGGAUCACUAAGGCAAAUGCCGGGAUGGUUCCUUCAUCGAGGCCACGGCUGACCACCUGUCCUGCCCUUAAAGAGAUCCUUUAAACAUUCUGUGUAUACCCAUAUUUUGAAUUAUUCAUGUUUGUUGUAUUGCUGUGACAACUGCUGUAUUAUGUUGAGAUAUUCUUGGAUGAAAUAAAAAAGUUUAUAUAUUUGUAUUUGUGGUCACACGUUAAAUUACUGAGAAAAUUGCAGAGUGGUUAUAGCACCGAAUUUCCAUUCAGGUGCAUUGGGAUCCUUCGCCUGUUUGAACAUCCUGAUUUACAUUUUAUGUGGGUUCCCUAAAUUCCUUUAGGCAAAUACUUUUGUUGGUUCCACUGAAUAGGCCAUGGCAGAGUAACUGCCAUUUCCAGUCUGAGUUUCUGCUCAGUCUGUGACAUGUUAACUAUUUAUUCAUUCUCUUUAUAAUACUGUAAUAUGUUUUAAGUGUUCCGUAUCAUUGUGGA